rnacentral:rRNA from 1 species
CCUACGGGAGGCUGCAGUGGGGGAUAUUGCACAAUGGGGGGAACCCUGAUGCAGCGACGCCGCGUGGGUGAAGAAGCGCCUCGGCGCGUAAAGCCCUGUCAGCAGGGAAGAAAAUGACGGUACCUGAAGAAGAAGCCCCGGCUAACUACGUGCCAGCAGCCGCGGGAAUACGUAGGGGGCAAGCGUUAUCCGGAUUUACUGGGGGGAAUGGGGGCGCAGACGGCGAUGCAAGCCAGGAGUGAAAGCCCGGGGCCCAACCCCGGGACUGCUCUUGGAACUGCGUGGCUGGAGUGCAGGAGGGGCAGGCGGAAUUCCUGGUGUAGCGGUGAAAUGCGUAGAUAUCAGGAGGAACACCGGUGGCGAAGGCGGCCCGCUGGACUGCAACUGACGUUGAGGCCCGAAAGCGUGGGGAGCAAACAGGAUUAGAUACCCCAGUAGUC